CCGAACCCCUUUUAUCCGGUGCUGAAAACCUGGCGCAGCCACCGCAGCUCCCUCAGGACCAGGUCCUGGUGUGGCCCAGACCCCACUUGCACUGACCUCCUGUGGGAGAUUUUUAGAGAAUUUCGUCCCGCUGCCGUUUGAGGCCAUGCGAGCCUGCAGAGGUCCUCACUGGAAGUCUGACCGCCCAGGUUCUUCUGAGGAUGUCGUUCAUACCCACUACCAGCACCUGGCUGAAUUUCCUGACCUCUUGGGCCUAGCUGCUGAAGAGUGAUGAUCCCUGGAGAAUCAGGACACCCCCUGGAAGAUCACAAGAACUAAACUUCAGGUAGUCACCCAAAAAACAACUGCUCAUAUCCUCGCUCUACAUGGAUAUCAGCCAGUUCAGACUGAAGACCCAAAAGUGUUCCUGUAAACACCACUCCUUCCCCCUCCAAUUUUCCUUACAGGUAGCCCACACUGACCCU